GAUGAACGCUAGCUACAGGCUUAACACAUGCGAGUCGUGGGGCAGCGGAUGCUUAGCUUGCUAAGUAUGCCGGCGACCGGCGCACGGGUGAGUAACGCGUACCGAACCUGCCCAUCACACAGGGAUAGGCUUGCGAAAGCAAGAUUAAUACCUGAUGGUCUCAGUUGUAUGCAUGUAUGAUUGAGUAAAGCCUUCGGGCGGUGAUGGAUGGCGGUGCGUCCCAUUAGGAAGUUGGCGGGGUAACGGCCCACCAAUCCUUCGAUGGGUAGGGGUUCUGAGAGGAAGGUCCCCCACAUUGGAACUGAGAUACGGUCCAAACUCCUACGGGAGGCAGCAGUGAGGAAUAUUGGUCAAUGGGCGAGAGCCUGAACCAGCCAAGUAGCGUGCGGGAUGAAGGCCCUUGUGGUCGUAAACCGCUUUUAUCAGUGAAUAAAGUGCACCACGUGUGGUGUCAUUGCAGGUAGCUGAAGAAAAAGGACCGGCUAAUUCCGUGCCAGCAGCCGCGGUAAUACGGAAGGUCCGGGCGUUAUCCGGAAUUAUUGGGUUUAAAGGGAGCGCAGGCGGGAGUAUAAGUCAGCUGUUAAAUAUCAGGGCCCAACUCUGUUAUGCAGUUGAAACUAUAUUUCUUGAGUACGCACAGGGAUGGCGGAAUUCAGGGUGUAGCGGUGGAAUGCUUAGAUAUCCUGACGAACUCCGAUCGCGAAGGCAGCCAUCCGGGGCGUAACUGACGCUGAGGCUCGAAGGUGCGGGUAUCGAACAGGAUUAGAUACCCUGGUAGUCCGCACGGUAAACGAUGAAUACUCGCAGUUCGGUCUUUAUGAUCGAGUUGUCCAGCGAAAGCGUUAAGUAUUCCACCUGGGGAGUACGCCGGCAACGGUGAAACUCAAAGGAAUUGACGGGGGCCCGCACAAGCGGAGGAACAUGUGGUUUAAUUCGAUGAUACGCGAGGAACCUUACCCGGGCUUGAACCAAGAGUGCGGAGUGCAGAGAUGCG
rnacentral:rRNA from 1 species